UGGAUGACUCUCGGCAACGGAUAUCUCGGCUCUCGCAUCGAUGAAGAACGUAGCGAAAUGCGAUACCUGGUGUGAAUUGCAGAAUCCCGUGAACCAUCGAGUCUUUGAACGCAAGUUGCGCCCGAGGCCAUCCGGCCAAGGGCACGCCUGCCUGGGCGUCACGC
rnacentral:rRNA from 2 species